ensembl:lncRNA
CCCCGGCCCCGGCCCCCGCCCCCGCCCCCGGCCCUAGGCCGCAGCUGGCCUGGGCUGAGGAAGUUGUCGCCAGCUAGACGGUCUGAGCUGUCCAGGAGCAAGAAAGACUGCUUCGUUCCACAGCAUGCAAAAAUGAAGAAAAGGCAAAACCCGGCUUCGUAGUCAGAGGGCCCCAGUCCGGCACUGCCCCUGAAGGCUACCGGCACCGAGGGUGACCCGUGUGCCGCAGCCUGGCUGAAUUUCCCAGUAGUGAGGGCGCGGCAGCUUUACAGUCCCUGCCCAAUGGUACACUUUUGACAUACACAAUGAUCACAUUCGUCGUAGGGUAUUUGCACCUGUAAAUAACAUUUUAGACAACUUGCUUCAGCGUCUGGACCGGUGGUUCUCGAAGUGUGGUCCCGGGGCCAGCACAGUCCGCGUCACCUCGAGCCGGAUCCAUCAUUGAAGUACUUGGCAAGAAAUUCAAUCAAGAAGGGGACAUAAAAUGAGAAAUAAUCUCCCUCUUAGCUCUGUGUCUAAGCUCCCUGCUGCAGAGAUGGCAAUAAAACUGUAUAGACCAUGGUUAUUUCUGCACAUGAUGAAU